GAACCGAUAUGAAUCCUACCUUCCAGCUUCGGCUAGAUCCCAGUGCUCACACAGCUCCGCUCUUAUUGUUAUUACUAUCUUUCCUACGAUCUCAUUACUACGGAGAACUCUUCCCACAACCACUCUCGGGGUGAUGGAAGCGGGCGAGUUGUUGGACUGCGAAAUGGCGUUGAGUUCGCUCCAUUCUCUCCUGCUUUAACCCUGUCAAUCAAUCAACCCACCCUUGGUGGGAUCGCCUAAUCGCUUACCCUGGAAGCUCCAAAUGCUUUGGGAAAUGAUGGAUGCAUGGAAAAAAAAAAAGCUCACU
rnacentral:sRNA from 1 species